rnacentral:lncRNA from 12 species
CAUAGUUUACUCAAUUUACUUAGUAGCAAAUCACUAAUUUACUAUGAUAAAUAAUUCAGUGAUGAACAUCUUUAUGCAUUUUUCUUUUUUUCAUUUCUGAUUAUUUCCUUAGGUAGGAUGUUGAGAUUUACUGUGGUCUGAUUUCAGGUUCUCAGCCUAACCACACACCAGAAGCCCUCCAUUCCAGACUUAUUGAAUCAGCAUGUCCAGAAUAGUUUCCAGCUUUGUUUGAAAGGAGGCCCCUCCAUCAGGAAAUCUGUCCCCCUUGGAGGGAAGAAUUAAUCCUGAAAAAAAAAAAAAAAAAAAAAAAAAAAAAAAAAUCCUGGAAAAGAAGAAGGAAAAAAAAAAUCUCAAAACUCUGUCAAAAUAGAACACAAGGCUCUGGGGGCAGGGAUGUGAGGCAGGAGCUUAUUUGCUAUGGAAAGAUGCCUCUAUUUGACUCGAGAGGAAGUUAUCGCUCAGA